rnacentral:misc_RNA from 1 species
UGGGUUUGACAUAUACCGGAAAGCCGUAGAGAUACGGCCCCCCUUGUGGUCGGUAUACAGGUGGUGCAUGGCUGUCGUCAGCUCGUGUCGUGAGAUGUUGGGUUAAGUCCCGCAACGAGCGCAACCCUCGUCUCUAGUUGCUACCAUUUAGUUGGGCACUCUAGAGAAACUGCCGGUGAUAAGCCGGAGGAAGGUGGGGAUGACGUUUACCGACAGCU